AGUCGAACGGCAGCACGGGAGCAAUCCUGGUGGCGAGUGGCGAACGGGUGAGUAAUAUAUCGGAACGUGCCCAGUCGUGGGGGAUAACGCAGCGAAAGCUGUGCUAAUACCGCAUACGAUCUCUGGAUGAAAGCGGGGGACUCGCAAGGGCCUCGCGCGAUUGGAGCGGCCGAUAUCAGAUUAGCUAGUUGGUGGGGUAAAAGCCCACCAAGGCGACGAUCUGUAGCUGGUCUGAGAGGACGACCAGCCACACUGGAACUGAGACACGGUCCAGACUCCUACGGGAGGCAGCAGUGGGGAAUUUUGGACAAUGGGCGCAAGCCUGAUCCAGCAAUGCCGCGUGCAGGAUGAAGGCCUUCGGGUUGUAAACUGCUUUUGUACGGAACGAAACGGCUCUUUUUAAUACAGAGGGCUAAUGACGGUACCGUAAGAAUAAGCACCGGCUAACUACGUGCCAGCAGCCGCGGUAAU
rnacentral:rRNA from 1 species